rnacentral:rRNA from 1 species
UCGGGAGUGACGCAUAUUGCGCAUCGGACGUCUCAACCCGACCGAUGCACACAUCCUUGAGUGCCU